CCUACGGGAGGCUGCAGUGGGGAAUAUUGGGCAAUGGAGGCAACUCUGACCCAGCAACGCCGCGUGAGUGAUGAAGGUCUUCGGAUUGGAAAACUCUUUAAGUGGGGACGAAGAAAGUGACUGUACCCACAGAAUAAGCCUCGGCUAACUACGUGCCAGCAGCCGCGGUAAUACGGAGGAGGCAAGCGUUAUCCGGAAUUACUGGGUGUAAAGGGAGCGUAGGCGGGGAUGCAAGUUGGGUGUAAAAACUAGCGGCUCAACCGAUAGUCGCACUUAAAACUGGAGCUCUUGAGUGAAGUAGAGGCAGGCGGAAUUCCUAGUGUAGCGGUGAAAUGCGUAGAUAUUAGGAGGAACACCAGUGGCGAAGGCGGCCUGCUGGGCUUUUACUGACGCUGAGGCUCGAAAGUGUGGGGAGCAAACAGGAUUAGAUACCCGGGUAGUC
rnacentral:rRNA from 1 species